GGCUCCGCCCCCGCGGCAUCUGUGGAGACCCGGGCUGAGGUACGAGGAGAGCGGGAAGGACCGCGGUGGAGAAGGGGACCCGCCGCUCGCCGAAGGAGAGGGGGCCAUGAACUGUUCUCCUCUGUGAUGGCCCUGAGCCAAGCCACUCUGCCUUGAAGCCGGCUGAUUAUGGACUGAACCACUACUAACUGUGAGUUACAAUAAACCUUUCCCCCUAUAACUCUGGGUGUCAGGUAGUUUGCCUGAGCACAAGAGAAAAGUCACUUAAGACAGUGAACAUCUUUUUGUAAGUUUUAUCAAGUGACAGCUAAAAAUAUAAGCCAGGCAUGAAGGCACGCACCUGUAAUUCCAGCCCUCAGGAGGCUGAGGCAGGAGAAUUGAUGCAAGUUUGAGGCUAGCCUUUGCUACAUAGUGAAUUCAGGGCCAGCCUGAACUACAUAGUAAGACUCUGUCUCUAAAUAAGUAAAUGUACAAAGUAGUAUUGUUUUCUUUCUGCGGGGUUUCUUUUCUUGUACCUAGUGUGCAAGUUUAUAAAGUUCAUGAAACAAAGAGGAAAUGGUAUAAAUAUCAUUUGUAUGGAUUUAAAAAUCAAAUGAUAAUCUUCUGUCCUUGGUGAUUUUUUUUGUAUACUGGAUCAUCCAAAUUCUGAAAGAUUUUUCUUUAUCUAGUUGGCUUUUUAGAAGCUUUUAUUUUAUAUAUUUUCAUUCUAUGCUGUGUCCUGAUAACUGUUAAGCCCCUUGGCAAAUGAAACAUUUUUAUUAUUCUUCUUCUUAAUGCUCUUUAAUUCUGUUGAUAAUAACUUUUCCUUCCCAAUUUUCCCAGUAACUCUAACCAUUCCUGUUUGUGUUUUUGUUUUGUAUUUAUAGUUUGCUUUUAGGCUUGCUUCUAAAUUCACCAUUGCUUAGUUGGAUUUAUUCUUUAAGAGGUCAGUCCAUUUACAUUAAAUAUAAGUUCUAUUAGUGUCAUUUGGUUUACACAUAUUUUGCUUUGCACCGAUUUCUUCAUCUGUCUUCUUAUUUUUAUUGUCUUGGUCAAGUUUCUGUUUGUUUUUCAACAGUCCUAAUAAAAUUGUAUUUUCCUUUUUGUCCAAA